rnacentral:rRNA from 1 species
UACGGAGGGUGCGAGCGUUGUCCGGAAUUACUGGGCGUAAAGAGCUCGUAGGUGGUUUGUCGCGUUGUUCGUGAAAACUCACAACUCAAUUGUGGGCGUGCGGGCGAUACGGGCAGACUGGAGUACUGCAGGGGAGACUGGAAUUCCUGGUGUAGCGGUGGAAUGCGCAGAUAUCAGGAGGAACACCGGUGGCGAAGGCGGGUCUCUGGGCAGUAACUGACGCUGAGGAGCGAAAGCGUGGGGAGCGAACAGG